rnacentral:rRNA from 1 species
CGAAGGUGGCAAGCGUUACUCGGAAUUACUAGGCGUAAAGGGCAGGUAGGUGGUUUGGUAAGCCUAUUGUGAAAGCUCCCGGCUUAACUGGGAGAGGUCAAUGGAUACUGCCGGACUUGAGUAUAGGAGAGGUUACUGGAAUUCCCGGUGUAGCGGUGAAAUGCGCAGAGAUCGGGAGGAACACCAAUGGCGAAAGCAGGUAACUGGACUAUUACUGACACUCAGCUGCGAAAGCUAGGGGAGCAAACAGGAUUAGAUACCCUGGUAGUCCUAGCUGUAAACGAUGCACAUUAGACGUGAGGGGUAUCGACCCCCUUCGUGUCGACGCUAACGCAUUAGAUGUGCCGCCUGGGGAGUACGGCCGCAAGGUUG